AACGAACGCUGGCGGCAGGCCUAACACAUGCAAGUCGAGCGCCCCGCAAGGGGAGCGGCGGACGGGUGAGUAACGCGUGGGAACGUACCCUUUGCUACGGAAUAGCCUCGGGAAACUGGGAGUAAUACCGUAUGUGCCCUUCGGGGGAAAGAUUUAUCGGCAAAGGAUCGGCCCGCGUUGGAUUAGGUAGUUGGUGGGGUAAUGGUCUACCAAGCCGACGAUCCAUAGCUGGUUUGAGAGGAUGAUCAGCCACACUGGGACUGAGACACGGCCCAGACUCCUACGGGAGGCAGCAGUGGGGAAUCUUAGACAAUGGGCGCAAGCCUGAUCUAGCCAUGCCGCGUGAGCGAUGAAGGCCUUAGGGUUGUAAAGCUCUUUCAGUGGGGAAGAUAAUGACUGUACCCACAGAAGAAGCCCCGGCUAACUCCGUGCCAGCAGCCGCGGUAAAGUACAGUGU
rnacentral:rRNA from 1 species